UACGUAGGGGGCAAGCGUUGUCCGGAAUCAUUGGGCGUAAAGAGCGUGUAGGCGGCUCGGUAAGUCCGCUGUGAAAGUCCAGGGCUCAACCCUGGAAUGCCGGUGGAAACUGUCGAGCUAGAGUCCGGAAGAGGCGAGUGGAAUUCCUGGUGUAGCGGUGAAAUGCGCAGAUAUCAGGAGGAACACCAAUGGCGAAGGCAGCUCGCUGGGACGGUACUGACGCUGAGACGCGAAGCGUGGGAGCAACAGG
rnacentral:rRNA from 1 species